UUGUUCGAUCGAGGGAGAGGAGGUAAAAGUUAAAACGAUGGCGGUUCUGCGUUCGGGACGGAACAUUAGUUCUUCAUCUAACUCCAAAGUUUGCGUUCGUCUGAUCCUGCACUUGGUGGCUCUAGACGUUUGCGAAGUGUUCUUCCCACCUGCCGCCAGCGUUCAUCAUGAGACAAUAUUGCUUUUCUAGAGUGCCAAAUAUUUGUUCUGCAUCCUCUUGUCCGGUAUUGCUUACAAGAAUGAUUCACGUAAAGAGGCUGAGUAAAGUAGGCGUAUUGGUGCAUUUUCUUCUUCCAUGGCAUGGUCAGUUGACCUCAUAUGUAAGCAGGGGUUGUAAUUUCCGAAGAGAAUGUUAACUUAGACAUGGCUACCUAAACAUCCUGAACCCAUCAAGGGGUGCACAACUAAAGAACGUCAUGAUGGAGUAAGGCCGUAUGCAACGGAUGCCAUAAGUGCCUAUAAUAAAACAACAGGUACAAAAUAUGAGCUGGUGGAGCCUAGUUUCCUUACAACUGUGUAUAUUGGGAAAUGCAUUCUUCACCAUAUCGACUUCACGGCUAAAAAGACUGAUGUUGCUAUGCUCCAGAGGAGAUGUUUUUUGCCGAACUGACAUCUAUCAUGGGGGUUCGUUGUGUCAAGUUUUGCAAAUGCAUGGGGCCAAAAGAUUCAAUUUCAGGAGAUAAAAACAAUGGCUGCCUUUAUUGCAACACUCGCAAUGUUCAGCAUCCCGCGGAUGGAGGAUUCAAAACUGGCCGUGCUGGAUGAAUAAAAACUUCAAUUCCAUGGCUUGUUGACAGUGAACUUUUCAUGAACAUAAGAAGUGUAGUGAAACUUAAUUUAGAGUCCGACUAUGUUUGAGGCUUGCAUAGUUUCCUUUUGAAAUUUGUUCCUACGAAUGAAAGUCUGGCCUCUGUGUGAAAGGCAUUGUACAUACGUAUUCAAAAGUUUUUGAGCAACUUAGAAGUCGAUCUAGUGUAUCUUACAUCAUUCA